GGGGAUUUAGCUCAGUGGUAGAGCACUUGCCUAGGAAGCGUAAGGCCCUGGGUUCGGUCCCCAGCUCCG
rfam:Rattus norvegicus chromosome 19, whole genome shotgun sequence.